UCGACAUCUCUAAAUAUAUGAGCUCUGGUAGAGCCUCAAUAUGAGAAAUUUCUGGUUGCUUUUGAAAUAUGGACUUAUUUGAUUAUUUAUUUUUUAUCCCGUAGGAUACGGUGAAACUUAAUGUAUGUUAAUUAAGUCUGUUUACCCAGAUGGACUGAUGCCAGAUUUCAAGACUGAUUUAAUGCCUGAUGAAACAGUUACUUGAGAAAAGGGUCUGUACAAACGAACCUGCUAGUUCUCAUCUGAGCCUUCUGAAUCUUCACAGAAGUAGAUAUCAGGGACAAGAGAUGCAGAAAGGAAUGCAAAAAUAUGGAUGAAAUGUGCGGCCACAUAGCACAGGUCUUUCUAAUGAAUCCAUCGUGAAGGACCACAGCGACUGUUGAGUAGUUUGCCUAAGGCAAAUUGACUUCCCCAUCAAUGAACAACAACUUGAAAAGGGUGAAAUCCUGGCGCUCUUGCAGUUGAUGGCAAAACUCCCAUGGACUUCAGUGGGGAC